GAUGAACGCUUGGCUGUGUGCCUAAUACAUGCAUGUCGAGCGGAAGUAGCAAUACUUUAGCGGCGAAUGGGUGAGUAACACGUGCUUAAUCUACCUUUUAGAUUGGAAUACCUAAUGGAAACAUUGGUUAAUGCCGGAUACGCAUGAAAUCGCAUGAUUUCGUUGUGAAAGGAGCGUUUGCUCCACUAAAAGAUGAGGGUCGGUCAUAGCUAGUUCCGUGAGGUAAUGGCCCCCAAGGCUAUGAUUUUAGCCGGUCGAGGACUAACGGCCACAUUGGACUAGAUACGGCCCAAACUCCUACGGGAGGCAGCAGUAGGGAAUAUUCCACAAUGAGCGAAAGCUUGAUGGAGCGACACAGCGUGCACGAUGAAGGCCCUCGGGUUGUAAAGUGCUGUUGCAAGGGAAGAACACUUAGUUGAGGAAAUGCAACUAAGCUGACGGUACCUUGUUAGAAAGCGAUGGCUAACUAU
rnacentral:rRNA from 2 species